rnacentral:rRNA from 1 species
CUCCGGUGAUUCCUGCCGGACCCGACUGCUAUCAGAGUGGGACUAAGCCAUGCGAGUCAACAUAGCAAUAUGUGGCAUACGGCUCAGUAACACGUAGUCAACAUGCCCAGGGGACGUGGAUAACCUCGGGAAACUGAGGAUAAACCGCGAUAGGUCAUCACUUCUGGAAUGGGUAAUGACUUAAAUCUAUAUGGCCCCUGGAUUGGACUGCGGCCGAUCAGGCUGUUGGUGAGGUAAUGGCCCACCAAACCUGUAACCGGUACGGGCUCUGAGAGGAGGAGCCCGGAGAUGGACACUGAGACAAGGGUCCAGGUCCUACGGGGCGCAGCAGGCGCGAAACCUUCGCAAUGCGCGAAAGCGUGACGAGGUUAAUCCGAGUGGCUUCCGCUGAGGAAGUCUUUUGCCGACUUUAAAAAGGUCGGAGAAUAAGGGGAGGGCAAGUCUGGUGUCAGCCGCCGCGGUAAUACCAGCUCCUCGAGUGGUCGGGGCGAUUAUUGGGCCUAAAGCAUCCGUAGCCGGUUCCGUAGGUCUCCUGCAAAAUCCAGUCGCUCAACGAUUGGCCCGCAGGAGAUACCGCGGGACUAGGAGGCGGGAGAGGUGGACGGUACUCCACGUGUAGGGGUAAAAUCCUUUGAUCCGUGGAAGACCACCAGUGGCGAAGGCGGUUCACCAGAACGCGCUCGACGGUGAGGGAUGAAAGCUGGGGGAGCAAACCGGAUUAGAUACCCGGGUAGUCCCAGCUGUAAACGAUGCAGACUCGGUGAUGAGUUGGCUUCUUGCCAACUCAGUGCCGCAGGGAAGCCGUUAAGUCUGCCGCCUGGGGAGUACGGUCGCAAGACUGAAACUUAAAGGAAUUGGCGGGGGAGCA